GGACCCGCACAAGUAGUGGAGCAUGUGGUUUAAUUCGAAGAUACGCGCAGAACCUUACCUACUCUUGACAUACUUGGAAGCUCUUGUAAUGAGAGUGUGCCUUUGGAACCAAGAUACAGGUGCUGCAUGGCUGUCGUCAGCUCGUGUCGUGAGAUGUUCCGUUAAGUCGGAUAACGAGCGCAACCCUUACCCUUAUUUGCCAGCGAUUCGGUCGGGAACUAUAAGGGGACUGCCGGUGAUAAACCGGAGGAAGGUGAGGACGACGUCAAGUCAUCAUGGCCCUUACGAGUAGGGCUACACACGUGCUACAAUGGGGAAUACAGACGGACGCUAAGCCGCGAGGUGGUGCUAAUCCUAGAAAGUUUCUCGUAGUCCGGAUUGGAGUCUGCAACUCGACUCCAUGAAGUCGGAAUCGCUAGUAAUCG
rnacentral:rRNA from 1 species